rnacentral:tRNA from 1 species
CGCCAUUACUUGAAACUCAAAACCCAAGCAUUCAUAAUGCUGGGGUCGCUGGUUCAAGUCCAGCCGUAGCUACCA